AAGUCGUAACAAGGUCUCCGUAGGUGAACCUGGGAGGGAUCGAUUACAUGAGCUCAUGCCCUAAUCGGGCUACGGUAUCUCCCACCCCUAUGUUAUCAUUACCAUGUUGCUUUGGCGGGCCGUCAGGCUCACGCUCGGCUACCGGCUCCGGCUGGUAAGCGCCCGCCAGAGGACCUCAAACCCUGAAUAUUCGUGUCGUCUGAGUAUCAUAUAAUAGUUAAAAC
rnacentral:misc_RNA from 1 species